rnacentral:lncRNA from 10 species
GUUGAAGAUGGCUAGAAGACUGGGCUCAGCUGAGAGGAUGUGUGGAGAGAUUUGGAUUUUGCCAAUUUCCAUUAUCUUAUGGAAACCAUAUGGAUACAAAUGAUUAAUUUGAUUUUAAGAGCCACCAUUAUUUACUUUUUAAUAAAAUAGGGUACAAAAAUAAAUAUCUACUGAGUCCAUCAUUUUAAAAUCUCUGGAUUAGAAGCAUAGUAUGCAGAAGACCUAUUCCAACGGGCUCAAGAGCUGAGUGGCAACUCUCAUUUCUCCCAGCUCUCUGGAGUAGAAGAGCUAUUGCAAGUAGAUCUGGCAAUGAGGAAAUUUUGGCAGAUUCCACCUCUCU